AUGGAUGAUAUCCAUGUCUACAUCUCAUCUCUUACCGAGCAUGUCCAAUGGCUGAGAACCAUUUCUUCCAUCCUGCUGGACAACUAGUUGGUGGUAAAUUUUUCCAAGUGUGUCUUCGCCGAGUCCAAGCUGGAGUAUCUCGGGCAUGUCAUCACUGAUCAAGGUGUGUCCACAGACCUCGUGAAAAUUAAAGUAAUCAAAGCUUGGCCAAAGCCCACCAAUCUGAAGGAGCUAAGGUGUUUUCUUGGAUUAAACGACUACUACCGGAAAUUUAUUCAGCACUACAGCAUUAUUAGUCGACUCUUAAUAGAGUUACCUAUCUUCAGUUUCUACCGAAAGAAACAUAUGCAACUUCAUAUAUGGAGUAAGUUUUGCGAGACGAAACUUAUGACAAAGCUUAAUACUUAUCUUCAAUUACACCAGUGCGGUGUUGCACUUAUGACAUCCAUCUCAGAGGUGUGUGGUGCCAAGCUAAAAUACACAAAACAGUUGUACAAAAUUAACAUAGAUGACAUCAUUAUUUUUAUGUGGAAAAUGGAAAACCCCAAGUUGAAGUAA
rnacentral:rRNA from 1 species